UACGAAGGAGGCUAGCGUUGUUCGGAAUCACUGGGCGUAAAGCGCACGCAGGCGGAUCGAUAAGUCGGGGGUGAAAGCCCGGGGCUCAACCUCGGAAUUGCCUUCGAUACUGUCGGUCUCGAGUCCGGGAGAGGUGAGUGGAAGUCCGAGUGUAGAGGUGAAAUUCGUAGAUAUUAGGAAGAGCACCAGUGGCGAAGGCGGCUCACUGGCCCGGUACUGACGCUCAGGUGCGAAAGCGUGGGGAGCAAACAGG
rnacentral:rRNA from 1 species